CGCAGACAGGCUCCACUACAUCUUGGAGCAUGUCAACCUCUGGAUCGUGUCCAGGGUGUCCCAGGAGAGAGCCAGGGCCAUUAGGAGCUGCACGGCCCUGCUCAGAUAUGCAGUCACCCUCCCUGAGUUUGACGGCUGACCAUACAUGAGGCAGAAGAUCUGUGGUGCCACGACUGGCACCAGGACAGCAGGCUCCUGGGCUAUAAGAACACAGCCAGGGUGGAGGAGAUAAGGACACUGUGGCAGGGCAUGACACAGCUCAGAGAGUGGGGCUGGCUGGGUCCCUGCAGUGGAUGCCUCCUGGAGACAGGACAAAGGCCCACUCCUUAUUUCCAGCUCAGAGUUCCUCAUCCACCACCCAGUGGGACUGGCUGGUGCUAAAGGUCCCAGAUUGGAACCUCGCUAGUUGCCAUGAUUUGAGUGUCUUACAUGGAGCCAUUGCUACGUGCCAGAAGGAGAAUCCCCGGGUGGGUCUUUGGAAAAUUCUUCUCUGAGGGGCAGAGAAAAUACUUCCUCCAGACAGCAAUGCUGGCAAUCCAUGAUCCCCUGCUGCAUGUCAGCCAGGCUGGG